CUUAUCUGGUAAAGCGAAUGAUUAAAGGCCUUAGGGCCGAAACAACCUUAACCUAUUCUCAAACUUUAAAUGGGUAAGAACCUUGCAUUUCUUGAAAUGAAUGUAUAGGAAAAUUAUGAUAUAUUGUGCCCAGUGGGCCACUUUUGGUAAGCAGAACUGGCGCUGUGGGAUGAACCAAACGUUAUGUUACGGCGCCUAAAUUAACAACUCAUACUGAUACCAUGAAAGGCGUUGCUUGCUUAAAACAGCAGGACGGUGGACAUGGAAGUCGUAAUCCGCUAAGGAGUGUGUAACAACUCACCUGCCGAACCAACUAGCCCUUAAAAUGGAUGGCGCUCAAGUUGUAUGCCUAUACAUAACCGCUAAAGUAAAUGAUUUA
rnacentral:rRNA from 1 species